GGGGGCGAUCUGGUUUCGACGGGAGGGACUGACGACUGAGUUGCGCGUCGGGGACGCCACUUGGCCCCGUUAACAAUGUGGCAAAACACACCAGCCGACACUGAGCUGGCUCUCGCUGCUUAAACGCUAGCGAGCGUCUCGCCUCUCCUUGUUCGCAGGAGGGGGUCGAGAUGCCAUUAAGCGGACUAGCCCUCGAACUCUUCGGUCCGUAGGGGGCGUGGGCGAAAUUUAAUCGGACUAGCCCGGAGAAGAGCCUCGCCGGUGGGCGCGAGCCCGGGCGAAACUUAAACCGCCGGACACACGCGUAGACGCUCAAGUUUGAAGCCUUUCGGACGCGGGUUCGAUUCCCGCCGCCUCCACCA
rnacentral:tmRNA from 1 species